AGUGCUAUGGUGAGAUAAUAACACCAAGGAAGUGUUUAUCGGCAGUGGACGGAACCGUAUCGUUUCGUCGUGAGCCUAAUUUUAAAACGACUUCUCUUUCCACUAAGCACU